rnacentral:rRNA from 1 species
CUAUUAUGGAGAGUUUGAUCCUGGCUCAGGACGAACGCUGGCGGCGUGCCUAAUACAUGCAAGUCGAGCGGAUCU